AGGGGGAUAACAUCCGGAAACGGGUGCUAAUACCGCAUAGUUUUCUUGAUCGCAUGAUCGGGAAAGGAAAGACGGCCUUUUGUAGCUGUACGCUUAUGGAUGGUACCCGCGGCGUAUUAGUUAGUUGGUGAGGUAACGGCUCACCAAGACGAUGAUACGUAGCCGACCUGAGAGGGUGAUCGGCCACAUUGGGACUGAGACACGGCCCAAACUCCUACGGGAGGCAGCAAGUAGGGAAUCUUCCGCAAUGGACGAAAGUCUGACGGAGUCAACGCCGCGUGAGUGUAAAAGAAGGUUUUCGGAUCGUAAAACUUCUGUUGUCAGAGAAGAACAAGUUGGAGAGUAAACUGCUCCUAGCCUUGACGGUAUACUGACCAGAAAAGCCACGGCUAACUACGUGCCAGCCGCGGC
rnacentral:rRNA from 1 species